CCAAAAUGUAGGUGCUUUGGUUCCUGCGAUGCGAGUCGCAGGCUAAGAGGGAAGCCGGUGAGAUACCGGCGCUGCCCCCGCAACUGUAAGCGGCAAGUGUUGGCCUUUUACCCACUGAUGCAUCUGCAUCGGGAAGGAUGGCAACGCAUUAGAGCCGUGAGCCAGGAGACCUGCCCGAGCACGAUACGACAA
rnacentral:ncRNA from 2 species